UGGGCGUGAGUUCUAGGGUGGGGGUUCUAGGGUUUCGACUCUAGACUUUUGUGAGAAGAACAAAACAAGAGAGUCUUGUUUCAUACUACCUACACCAACAUCUCCUCUUCUUGUUCCAUCUUCUGAUCUAGAAGAGUUUAGAUAAUCCAAAGGAAGGAGAAUAUUUCAGCCAUCCAGCAUCUUUCGUGCGAACUAGCAUUUUC
rnacentral:lncRNA from 1 species